rnacentral:rRNA from 1 species
UACGUAGGGACCGAGCGUUGUCCGGAAUCAUUGGGCGUAAAGAGCGUGUAGGCGGCUAUUUAAGUCCUGCGUGAAAUCCUGCGGCUCAACCGCAGACGGUCGUGGGAAACUGGAUGGCUAGAGUGCGGGAGAGGAGAGUGGAAUUCCCGGUGUAGCGGUGAAAUGCGCAGAUAUCGGGGAAGAACACCCGUGGCGAAAGCGGCUCUCUGGGACGGUACUGACGCUGAGACGCGAAAGCG